rnacentral:rRNA from 1 species
GAAAAAGCCUCUAAGCUUCAGUCAUACGAGACCGUACCGCAAACCGACACAGGUGGACGGGAUGAAUAUUCCAAGGCGCUUGAGAGAACUCAGGAGAAGGAACUCGGCAAAUUGAUACCGUAACUUCGGGAGAAGGUAUGCCUCGGUAGUGUGAGGCGCUCGCGCGCUAAGCAUGAUGAGGCCGCAGAGAAUCGGUGGCUUCGACUGUUUAUUAAAAACACAGCACUCUGCUAAGACGAAAGUCGACGUAUAGGGUGUGACGCCUGCCCGGUGCCGGAAGGUUAAUUGAUGGGGUGCAAGCUCUUGAUCGAAGCCCCGGUAAACGGCGGCCGUAACAAUAACGGUCCUAAGGUAGCGAAAUUCCUUGUCGGGUAAGUUCCGACCUGCACGAAUGGCGUAACGAUGGCCACACUGUCUCCUCCUGAGACUCAGCGAAGUUGAAGUGUUUGUGAUGAUGCAAUCUACCCGCGGCUAGACGGAAAGACCCCAUGAACCUUUACCGUAGCUUUGCAUUGGACUGUGAACCGGCCUAGGAUAGGUGGGGCAUUGAAGCGUGAUCGCCAGAUUGCGUGGAGCCAACCUUGAAAUACCACCCUGGUUUGUUUGCGGUUCUAACCUUGGCCCGUUAUCCGGGUCGGGGACAGUGCAUGGUGGGCAGUUUGACUGGGGCGGUCUCCUCCCAAAGCGUAACGGAGGAGUUCGAAGGUACGCUAGGUACGGUCGGAAAUCGUGCUGAUAGUGCAAUGGCAUAAGCGUGCUUGACUGUGAGACUGACAAGUCGAACAGGUGCGAAAGCAGGACAUAGUGAUCCGGUGGUUCUGUAUGGAAGGGCCAUCGCUCAACGGAUAAAAGGUACUCUGGGGAUAACAGGCUGAUACCGCCCAAGAGUUCAUAUCGACGGCGGUGUUUGGCACCUCGAUGUCGGCUCAUCUCAUCCUGGGGCUGUAGCCGGUCCCAAGGGUAUGGCUGUUCGCCAUUUAAAGAGGUACGUGAGCUGGGUUUAAAACGUCGUGAGACAGUUUGGUCCCUAUCUGCCGUGGGCGUUGGAUACUUGACGGAGCCUGCUCCUAGUACGAGAGGACCGGAGUGGACGUACCUCUGGUGUACCGGUUGUCAUGCCAAUGGCAUUGCCGGGUAGCUAUGUACGGAAGAGAUAACCGCUGAAGGCAUCUAAGCGGGAAACUCGUCUGAAGAUUAGUUAUCCCGGGGCCUAGAGCCCCCUGAAGGGUCGUUCAAGACCAGGACGUUGAUAGGUCAGGUGUGGAAGCGCAGUAAUGCGUUAAGCUAACUGAUACUAAUUGCCCGUGCGGCUUGAUCCC